rnacentral:misc_RNA from 1 species
AAGUCGUAACAAGGUUUCCGUAGGUGAACCUGCGGAAGGAUCAUUAACACGUAUCCACGUAUCAACCCCUCUGUGCAAAUGAAAAUGAUUAGGCGUGGUCUGAGUAUGUCUUGUUCGUCCUAAUGAUGGCGGGAAGCUUGCUUCCCGGGGACACAUGAAUGAGGCAUGCGUUCGAAGAUUCGCCGCUUUUUUCCCAUCAUUAACCCUUUUACUAUUUUUAACCCCUUGUACUUCUUUGUACUGAACCAAUUCUUUCGAUGCUCGCAAGAGCGACGAAAAGAUAUUACGAAACUAAAAGAACAACUCUUAGCAACGGAUAUCUUGGUUCCC